rnacentral:rRNA from 1 species
CCUACGGGUGGCAGCAGUGAGGAAUAUUGGUCAAUGGGCGAGAGCCUGAACCAGCCAAGUCGCGUGAAGGAUGACGGCCCUACGGGUUGUAAACUUCUUUUGUCAGGGAGCAAUUGAGUCCACGUGUGGUCUUAGCGAGAGUACCUGAAGAAAAAGCAUCGGCUAACUCCGUGCCAGCAGCCGCGGUAAUACGUAGGGGGCAAGCGUUAUCCGGAUUUACUGGGUGUAAAGGGGGCGCAGACGGCAAUGCAAGCCAGGAGUGAAAGCCCGGGGCCCAACCCCGGGACUGCUCUUGGAACUGCAUGGCUGGAGUACAGGAGGGGCAGGCGGAAUUCCUAGUGUAGCGGUGAAAUGCGUAGAUAUUAGGAGGAACACCGGUGGCGAAGGCGGCCUGCUGGACUGUGACUGACGUUGAGGCCCGAAGGCGUGGGGAGCAAACAGGAUUAGAUACCCCGGUAGUC